GAAAAAUCGAUGAGGAUACUGUCAAACAGUUAGGCUCCAUAUGGAAAGUGUGUUACAACAGCGAGUUGGUAAGCAGCAGCAGAGGCUAGUUCUACUCAGUGUCACCUAACGCUUACACUACCAAUGAAACACUUCAAAAGUUAUGAAGCCCAACCAUUUCCAGCACCAUAGGAGAAAUUACAACAGUCCUAAGUUGUUUAAAAAAAAAAAAUCUCGAAAAAGUUACGGCCUUUGCCAUUCAACCAUAACGUUUGCCAUUUCCAUGUACGAGUUUGCUGUCGGUGUCUGCUCGCCUCCCCUUCCGCCGAUGUGAAGUCGCUGCGCUGCGAUGCUGCUGCUUCCGUGUUACAGAGGUGGGAAGGGGUCAGGUGGUCUGUCCGGUGCGUGGUGGGAAGCGGAGACUUUUAUCCCAGGUACCAGGACUGAGUCUGUUGAGGGAUAUUUACAAAGCUUGGAUCCCGUGGUCCAACACUGACGAAUCGGUUUGCGGGGGAGGUGCUGGGUGUCGAGUAGGUUGGAGAAGUGGGAGAGGUGGCCCCUCCUUCUGUUGAUGUAGUUGGAGGUUUUGUGUCUGGCACUGGCAGAGGCACAGGCCUAGCCAUUGGUGGCGGAGGUGGUGGUGGCAACAUUGGGGUAGGAAGGAAUGGAUUGUGCACCUUGCCUUGGCUGCUACCAUUGGGAUUUAGGAACCCCACCUGUCCAGCCUGCUGACCAGCGUCGGGGCAGACAAGUUGGACAAACUCUUUCAGAGUCUCCUGAGGAUGAUAGCGGAUUGCUGGGUGUGAG
rnacentral:lncRNA from 1 species